AUCCAACUGACGAAUCCCAAAUAGGACGAAACGCGCAUCCUGGAC
rnacentral:hammerhead_ribozyme from 1 species